GACGAACGCUGGCGGCGCGCCUAACACAUGCAAGUCGAACGGAGCUUAGAGAGCUUGCUUUUUAAGCUUAGUGGCGAACGGGUGAGUAACGCGUGAGUAACCUGCCCUAGAGUGGGGGACAACAGUUGGAAACGACUGCUAAUACCGCAUAAGCCCACGGUGCCGCAUGACACUGAGGGAAAAGGAUUUAUUCGCUUUAGGAUGGACUCGCGUCCAAUAAGCUAGUUGGUGAGGUAACGGCCCACCAAGGCGACGAUUGGUAGCCGGACUGAGAGGUUGAACGGCCACAUUGGGACUGAGACACGGCCCAGACUCCUACGGGAGGCAGCAGUGGGGGAUAUUGCACAAUGGGGGAAACCCUGAUGCAGCGACGCCGCGUGGAGGAAGAAGGUUUUCGGAUUGUAAACUCCUGUCGUUAGGGACGAUAAUGACGGUACCUAACAAGAAAGCACCGACUAACUACGUGCCAGCAGCCGCGGUAAAACGUAGGGUGCAAGCGUUGUCCGGAAUUACUGGGUGUAAAGGGAGCGCAGGCGGGAAGACAAGUUGGAAGUGAAAACCAUGGGCUCAACCCAUGAAUUGCUUUCAAAACUGUUUUUCUUGAGUAGUGCAGAGGUAGAUGGAAUUCCCGGUGUAGCGGUGGAAUGCGUAGAUAUCGGGAGGAACACCAGUGGCGAAGGCGGUCUACUGGGCACCAACUGACGCUGAGGCUCGAAAGCAUGGGUAGCAAACAGGAUUAGAUACCCUGGUAGUCCAUGCCGUAAACGAUGAUAUUAAGGUGUUGGGGGAUGGACCCCCUCCGCCCCCGCAGUUAACACAAUAAGUAUUCCCCCUGGGGAGUACGACCGCAAGGUUGAAACUCAAAGGAAAUGACGGGGGCCCGCCCAAGCAGUGGAGUAUGUGGUUUAAUUCGAAGCAACGCGAAGAACCUUACCAGGUCUUGACAUCCGAUGCAUAGCACAGAGAUGUGUGAAAUCCUUCGGGACAUCGAGACAGGUGGUGCAUGGUUGUCGUCAGCUCGUGUCGUGAGAUGUUGGGUUAAGUCCCGCAACGAGCGCAACCCUUAUUGCCAGUUACUACGUUAAGAGGACUCUGGCGAGACUGCCGUUGACAAAACGGAGGAAGGUGGGGAGGACGUCAAAUCAUCAUGCCCUUUAUGACCUGGGCUACACACGUACUACAAUGGCGUUAAACAAAGAGAAGCAAGACCGCGAGGGGGAGCAAAACUCAAAAACAACGUCUCAGUUCAGAUUGCAGGCUGCAACUCGCCUGCAUGAAGUCGGAAAUGCUAGUAAUCGCGGAUCAGCAUGCCGCGGCG
rnacentral:rRNA from 1 species